rnacentral:misc_RNA from 1 species
GUUACACACCCAUAUUAUCUGCGUCAAAGUAUUACAUUACAUAUAAUUGAAAUAUAGACAAGUGGAGCAGUUAACUUUGAACAUGUAAAACUUAACAGGAAAUUUUGAACUGGUGUAACGACUCGAAAUAGACAAUGUAAAAUUCAGUUUAGACACCCAAAAAAAGAGGGCCAACUGUAUCUUGGAGGCAAAAGAGAGGGAGAAGAACUUUAGACAAAGAAAACCUGUAGAGAACAAAAAAGGAUAAUAUAGGGGACGAAGGUAAAUUUGCUUCUAAAUUACAACGGACAGAAUCUGAGAACAUUAACUACAAUAUAUUUAUUCAACUCUGUUCCUGAAUAUUGUUUCCAUCCUUUUGCCCAGCGAGCAUCAACUCAUCAAAGUUCACCGUCUUACCCAGUACGAUUUCAAUCUUAGCUUUCUGAAUAGGUCUUCCCCUCAUGUCUUCAUUUACAUCAACCGUAGAAGUCAUGAUUUUUUUUUCAGUGGCCAGCCCAUUAUUCUUUAGAAUUUCAGCAAUUGAUACAACUGUUGAAAUCGCCAUUCCCA